UACGAAGGGGGCUAGCGUUGCUCGGAAUCACUGGGCGUAAAGCGCACGUAGGCGGAUUGCUAAGUCAGGGGUGAAAUCCUGGAGCUCAACUCCAGAACUGCCUUUGAUACUGGCGAUCUUGAGUCCGGGAGAGGUGAGUGGAACUGCGAGUGUAGAGGUGAAAUUCGCAGAUAUCAGGAGGAACACCGAUAGCGAAGGCAGCUCGCUGGGACGGUACUGACGCUGAGGCGCGAAGGCCAGGGGAGCAAACGGG
rnacentral:rRNA from 1 species